rnacentral:misc_RNA from 1 species
GAUGAAGAACGUAGCGAAAUGCGAUAAGUAAUGUGAAUUGCAGAAUUCAGUGAUUCAUCGAAUCUUUGAACGCACAUUGCGCCCGCCAGCAUUCUGGCGGGCAUGCCUGUUCGAGCGUCAUUUCAACCCUCGAGCCCCCCCGGGGGCCUCGGUGUUGGGGGACGGCACACCAGCCGCCCCCGAAAUGCAGUGGCGACCCCGCCGCAGCCUCCCCUGCGUAGUAGCACACACCUCGCACCGGAGCGCGGAGGCGGUCACGCCGUAAAACGCCCAACUUUCUUAGAGUUGACCUCGGAUCAGGUAGGAAUACCCGCUGAACUUAAGCAUAUCAAUAAGCGGAGGA